UACGUAGGGGGCUAGCGUUGUCCGGAAUCAUUGGGCGUAAAGCGCGUGUAGGCGGUCCGGUAAGUCCGCUGUGAAAGUCGGGGGCUCAACCCUCGGAUGCCGGUGGAUACUGUCGGGCUUGAGUACGGAAGAGGCGAGUGGAAUUCCUGGUGUAGCGGUGAAAUGCGCAGAUAUCAGGAGGAACACCGGUGGCGAAGGCGGCGUUCUGGACUGUUACUGACACUGAGGAACGAAAGCCAGGGGAGCAAACGGG
rnacentral:rRNA from 1 species